GAAGGGACCUAGCGUAGUUCGGAAUUACUGGGCUUAAAGAGUUCGUAGGUGGUUGAAAAAGUUAGGGGUGAAAUCCCAGAGCUUAACUCUGGAACUGCCAUUAAAACUUUUCAGCUAGAGUAUGAUAGAGGAAAGCAGAAUUUCUAGUGUAGAGGUGAAAUUCGUAGAUAUUAGAAAGAAUACCAAUUGCGAAGGCAGCUUUCUGGAUCAUUACUGACACUGAGGAACGAAAGCAUGGGUAGCGAAGAGGAUUAGAUACCCUCGUAGUCCAUGCCGUAAACGAUGUGUGUUAGACGUUGGAAAUUUAUUUUCAGUGUCGCAGCGAAAGCGAUAAACACACCGCCUGGGGAGUACGACCGCAAGGUUAAAACUCAAAUGAAUUGACGGGGACCCGCACAAGUAGUGGAGCAUGUGGUUUAAUUCGAAGAUACGCGCAGAACCUUACCAACACUUGACAUGUUCGUCGCGACUCUAAGAGAUUAGAGUUUUCGGUUCGGCCGGACGAAACACAGGUGCUGCAUGGCUGUCGUCAGCUCGUGUCGUGAGAUGUUGGG
rnacentral:rRNA from 1 species